AACGAACGCUGGCGGCGUGCCUAACACAUGCAAGUCGAGCGCGAAUGGAGCAAUCCUAGUAGAGCGGCGCACGGGUGCGUAACACGUGGAUAAUCUGCCUAAAAGACCGGAAUAACCUGCCGAAAGGCUGGCUAAUGCCGGAUAAGCCCACAGGGUCUUCGGACCCAGAGGGAAAAGGUGGCCUCUGUAUACAAGCUAUCACUUUUAGAUGAGUCCGCGGCCCAUCAGCUAGUUGGCGGGGUAAUGGCCCACCAAGGCAACGACGGGUAGCUGGUCUGAGAGGACGAUCAGCCACACUGGAACUGAGACACGGUCCAGACUCCUACGGGAGGCAGCAGUGGGGAAUUUUGCACAAUGGGCGAAAGCCUGAUGCAGCAACGCCGCGUGUGUGAUGAAGGUCUUCGGAUCGUAAAGCACUUUCGACCGGGAUGAAAACCCGUUGGCUAACAUCCAACGGCUUGACCGUACCGGGAGAAGAAGCACCGGCUAACUCUGUGCCAGCCGCCGCAGUAAUAC
rnacentral:rRNA from 1 species